AUGGGUUUGGCAAGAGCGCCUUCUCCUUUUCUUGUUUUGAGUGGGCCACGUCUUGUUGGGUUUUUAUUGGGGAGGGAGAAUAAUAAGAAGACAGAGAAGCAGGCACUCACGCAACCCUCUCUCACCGCCGUCUCAUCUCCUCCGCGGCUCCGCCGCCUUCGCCUCCCCUCCCCUCCCACCUCAGCGCCGCUGCCUCUGUCUGCUCCGCCUCGCUCUCCUCCGUCCCUUCACGCGCCACGCCGCCUCCACAGGGUCCAGCCUCCACCGGAGCCGAUCUCUCCGCUGAGCACGCCCCGCGCCGCCGUUGCUGCCAAGGGCUCCUCGGGGCCGUUGCAGCCGGGGAGGCGGCCUGCAGGAGGGCCCUAA
rnacentral:rRNA from 1 species